rnacentral:rRNA from 1 species
CAGCAGCCGCGGUAAUACGAAGGUCCCGAGCGUUGUUCGGAAUCACUGGGCGUAAAGGGAGCGUAGGCGGCGUGGUAAGUCAGAUGUGAAAUCCCGGGGCUCAACCCCGGAACUGCAUCCGAUACUGCCGUGCUAGAGGAUUGGAGAGGUAGCUGGAAUUCUUGGUGUAGCAGUGAAAUGCGUGGAGAUCAAGAGGAACACUCGUGGCGAAAGCGAGCUACUGGACAAUAUCUGACGCUGAGGCUCGAAGGCCAGGGUAGCGAAAGGGAUUAGAUACCCCCGUAGUCCCUGUCUCUUAUCC